UACGAGAGGCCCAACCGUUAUUCGGAAUUACUGGGCUUAAAGAGUUCGUAGGCGGCGCGGCAAGUGGGGUGUGAAAGCCCUCGGCUCAACCGAGGAAUUGCGCUCCAAACUACCGUGCUUGAGGAAGCUAGAGGUGAGCAGAACUGAUGGUGGAGCGGUGAAAUGCGUUGAUAUCAUCAGGAAUACCGGAGGCGAAGGCGGCUCACUGGGGCUUUUCUGACGCUGAGGAACGAAAGCCAGGGUAGCGAACGGG
rnacentral:rRNA from 1 species